CGGGGAGUAGCGCAGCUUGGUUAGCGCACCUGCUUUGGGAGCAGGAGGCCGCGGGUUCGAAUCCCGCCUCCCCGACCA
rnacentral:tRNA from 1 species